GGACGGCUAGCUCAUCUGGUUAGAGCGCAGCAUUGACAUUGCUGAGGUGACAGGUUCGACCCCUGUGCCGUCCACCA
rnacentral:tRNA from 1 species